CGAAAUAGGAAUUGAGGGAGUCGGGGAGAGAGCCAAGAGGAGCUGGUGUACACAGAGCCUGAGGCCUGCCUCGCGCAGAGUGGCUUGGCAGAGGCGCUGAUCUCCCCUCACUUUCCCAGUCACCCUCACAUGACGGCUGGUUUCAUAACCGCUCAUCAGCUGCCCCGGAAGUCAGGAGUCCUUGACCGGGAGGUGUUUGACCCUUUCCUGUCGGAGGCCUUCCUGGGCUCCGGGGACUCCAGAGGAGGUCUGGGCCGGCCGCGUGGCAGGAGGCUCACUCCCUCAGCCACCUUAGGAGGAAAUGUUCUCUUCCGGGGCUUGCCCUCCCAAACGGCCCUGGUUCUGCCAGUCUUCUUUGUAACCCUGGGGCCCAGCCCAGGGCCCGGCACACAGUUGGUGCUAAAUAAAUGCUUGGCUCAUUGUUGUAGGGCAGGCGUAGAGCCCUCUAGGUGUGUGUGGCCCCGCGGGGAGGGCUGGGACUUCCUCCGACUCCCGCCUUCUGUAGUACUUAGCACAGUGGCCACAGAGCCACUCUAAGCCUCACCGAGGGGGCGUGACUGCCCAAGGUCACCGCUAGGAAGGGGCUGAGGUGAGCUUCGAACCGCAUUCUAUCGGCUCCCUCUGGACCGUGUGCGGAUCACGUGAGGGGCAGCAGGCGCAGGCGCAGGCGCAGUCCACACCGCUUGGUACUUGUUGAAGGUGGAGAGUCAGAACUACUGUAGCUGGAUGACCUUCGUUGAAUAAAGCUGCAAAGCCAAGUGAGGAAAGAACUCGACUUGACCAGAACUUCUGGGGUAGCUGCAAAGGGUCUGGCGGAGAUUCGGGCUGGGCCAGUAUCUUACACCAAACGCCACAAUAAAUUCAAAAUGGCCGGGGGCGACUCGGGAAUUACCCGGAUACUUGCCUGAAGCCUACAGAGCAAAUCCUGAAAAAUGAGAAGCGCCCCGUUCCUUCCUUCCAUGCCCUUCACAGCUACGGGGAGAGUAAUUGAAGGUGCUGAGCGCGGAGGGAGGGAAAGAAGAGGUCGUAGGACAAAGCAGCCCCAGGUUCCACUUGUGUUAGGGGGUGGAAAGUGGGUGCUCAUUCAGGAAGACAGCCUGAGAAGGAGUGGCCAGACAGUAGGAAGGGAACAGAGAGAGCCCGUUACCAAAGAUUUAAAGGGUGAGGCCUCAGAGAAGAGGCUGACACAGAUACUGGGCCCGCUCCUCCCUCGGGACAAGGCCUAGGGCUGCUGCUUCUCCGUGUCCCCAAACACUUGUCUUGGACGCGUGGGGGAAGGAGUCCAAACCAAAAUCCAGAAUAAUCGGAGUUUUUCACAGAUGGUGACUGCCUAUCUUCCCACAACCCUGCUGAUGCUUGCUGCUCCCAUCAUUCGUCACCUUGGCCAGCCAGAUAACUGAUCAUUGGAUAUUUGCUAAGCACCUACUAUGUGUUUACCUGGACAAGGAACAAACGAACAAGUUUCUCUCCCCAGAAGCUCAUGUUUUACUAACAGCAUUGGUGAAACCUCAGAGCUGCUCUGAUUUGCAUUUCUCUCUCUCUCAUCCCUAUUUGGAGCUUGUUUUCAUGAGGCUAUUCAUAGUUUGCCACCUUCUUUUUGAGACUUGUUUGUUCAUCUUCUCUGACCCCUUUAAACCCCCUGGGGGGAUCCCCCUUUGCUACUGACCCCCAGGGUUGUGACAGGAAAGAGUGGAUUGGGGUUGUGAAGGGUCCCAGGGGAACCAAGCCUGCUGCUGAUUCAGGGCCAUUCAGGGACUCAAACACCUGCUCUCCUGCCAAGGAAGGCCUUCCUGCCUCAGAAAUCCAGCUGACUGACCCUAGUCCCCCUUCACUUUGAUCAUAUGGUCACAAACCAAGGGUCUGACUCAUACCUUCCUGGUGAACUCAUUCUCUUCUGAAUGGCCAGUGACAGAACCCCUCUCCCCUUGAUAAGCCUCAGGAGAGCUGCCAUGUUUCCCAGAGGCUUCUCUUUGCAGGCUAAACAUCUCUGGAUCCUGGUGCCAGUGGGGCAGAGCCCAGUCUGGGGCCAGCAUCAGGGCUCAAAGAAUUAUGGCUUUUCUGGAGGGAACCUUGGCUCUGCCCGGCACCCAUUGGCUUCUGAGGGUUGACAGUCACUUGAGCCCUCAGGGCCUCAGUUUUCUCCUCUGAGCCAAAGGCCUGUGUUCUGGGCCCACAGUAGGUAUGCUGUGGUGGAAGGCUGGGUGAUAUCAGGGAGGAGCUGAGAGAAGACUUAUUAUUAGCUGUAUUCUGCCCGUGAUCUCAGAGCCAGAUACGGGCACUGACGCUGAGCGAGGAUCCCACUCAGGGAGAUGAGCACGCCCCCGGCCUUCUUUUAACACCUCCUUUUAGAGCCUGAGUCAGUGAACAGAGCCGGGGUCUGGGCGCCCUGCUCCUACCCAAGUUAUUUCAGGAACCUCCUCCUCCUCCUCCCUUCAACCCUCAGAAUCCAUCUCUCAUCACUGACACCCCCAAGGAAAAAUGGAUCUCCUUAUCAGGCCAAUGGGGAAACUGAGGCUUCCCUAAGAGCCUCCAAUGUAGAGGUGACAGAAGGGGGCAACACAGGAGAAUGCGAAGUCUGGAUCUGAAUCUCAGCUUUGCCCUUGCAGCUUGUAAAAAUUAAAAUAUAAUAUUUUUAUUAUUAGAUAAGCUUUAUGUGACCUUGGAUGAGUCAUUCCCUGCCCCCUUUUCUGAAAUGCUGGCUUCAGUUUCCCAAUGUGUAAAAUGUCCAAAAGUGACCUCUACGGGCCCUUCCAGUCCACCGCUCCCUUGGCCAGAGCUUGGGGGACAGCGGUGGCUUCGGGUGACUGCCUCCCUCCCUGGUACCUUUGGGUCCUAGCUCAUCCCCUAUGGGUCACGGGACUGGGACUGAAAGAGGAGCUGGGAGGUGACCUUUACUGGGGUUCGCCGGCCCUGAGAUAUGUGUCUUGGGCAGGAGAGAGAGGACUCAGCUUCCCCCGGGGUUGGUCUUGCCCCAGCUCCAGUUACUGCUGAGUCCAAUGAGCGGUCAUUGACCCCAUGUUGGGCCUCAUUUCCAUCCCAUUUCUCUGCCCUGAUGUCUCGGGACCUUCUGCCUCAUCCCCAGGCCUGGGAUCGGAGACUGCAGGGCACAGCGGGUUGUUCUUAUUAUACAGCUUGGGAAACUGGGGUUCAGAGAGGGACAGGGCUUCAUCCAGGGUCCUAUAGGAAAGGAAUGGCCCACAGAGCCUCGGCUCAGAUGGGGAGGUGGGCUUCUCGGCCGGAGCAUGGGUGUUGGAAUGAGCUGCUUUGGUAGGGAGUGGGCCCAGGACCAUCAGGUGUAUGGGGAGCCACAGAGGUCUCAGAGCACCAACAGCCAGUCUGCAGCACUUACAUUUAACGCCCUG